rnacentral:lncRNA from 1 species
CAUCAUCAUCAUAUAUUUUUUCUAUGUAGAAUUAUAUUUUCUACAUUUAAAUAUUCUGUGUUUUAUUCUAUUAUUUUUCUUUCAGCUCAUUAAACAAAAGCACUCAGUAAGUGAUAAAAGAAAAUGUUAUGCUGUUGCUGGCAUGUAUUAUGUAGUUAGGCAUAUGGUGGUUAUGUUUAUAUGGUCUGAACUGGUUGUUCUCAGUACAGAUGUAAUCACUGAACAUUUUUCAGAUCUUUUUCAUGGCAUUAUUCCUUAAACAAUAUAGUAUAACAAUUAUUUAAUUGUAUAACAUUUAUAAUGUCUUAAAUAUAAUAAGUGAUCUAGAGAUGAUUUAAAUAAAUAAAUUCUUAUUCUAUAGCUGAUUUAAAGUAUACUGAAGGACAUGUGUAGGUUAAUUGCAAAUACUAUGCCAUUUUAUAUAAACUUUGAGCAUAUGCCAAUUUUGGUAUCUGCAAAAACCUUCAAUCCACCAAUUGUUCUCAUAAUCUCAAACCAAUCCUCUGUGGAAAAUUGGUUUGAGAUACUGAGGGGCAAUUAUACUAUUAAGAAUAUGAUAAUUUUUGCAAUGCUUUUAAUUUUGUUUAAUGUGAAAAAUUAGCCAAAGUAACUGUAUAAAUUUGAUUGAAACAUUUGUACUCAUGCCUGUUCUUGUUUAUACCCUGCU